rnacentral:rRNA from 1 species
GACGUAGGAGGCGAGCGUUAUCCGGAAUCACUGGGCGUAAAGCGCACGUAGGCGGUCCUGUAAGUCAGGUGUGAAAGCCCUCGGCUCAACCGAGGAACUGCGUCUGAUACUGCAGGGCUCGAGGACGGGAGGAGAAGGUGGAAUUCCUGGUGGAGCGGUGAAAUGCGUAGAUAUCAGGAGGAACACCGGUGGCGAAAGCGACCUUCUGGUCCGUUCCUGACGCUGAGGUGCGAGAGCUAGGGGAGCAAACGGG